GGCAUUGGAACAGUAGGGGAGCAGAGCUCCUGAGCACUGUAAGCCAAGCUGAGCAUGAUGCUUCGGUGUGAGUUCAGAAGACAAGACUCCUCCAGAUGUUAGGACAGUGACAGCUGACUCAUGAGGGCUCAGGAGGGAGAAAGUCAGGAAUCAGCCUAGAUUUGUACUAUAUUUUGGCAAAGCGUCUGCCUCUGUUCUGCUUCUGUCAUGAAACUCUGAGUGAGACUAAUUCUUUGGCUGAGAGUAUUUCAAGACAACAUAACAUUCUGGAAAGGGCUUCCUGCUUCUAUCCAGGUUCCUAGUGAGACAGAGGGACAGGGGUUGGAGGCAGGCAUGUGCAACAGAAAAACAGAGAGAUGUGCAGUUUGCAGGACAAGGAAGAGACAGACGAAUGGCCUGCGAAGGUCAGAGUGGAGCUCUCGACUGUGCAUAAAGACGGUUCUCAUCUCAUAGUUCAGAGACUUCGGCUCACAUGUUUGAACAUCAGUCCCCAGAUGGUGACACUGGUUUAGGAGCCUGCGGAAGCUUUUGGAAAUGGAGCCUCACUAUUAAAAAAUGGGUCAC